GACGAACGCUGGCGGCGUGCCUAAUACAUGCAAGUUGAGCGCUGAAGGUUGGUACUUGUACCAACUGGAUGAGCAGCGAACGGGUGAGUAACGCGUGGGGAAUCUGCCUUUGAGCGGGGGACAACAUUUGGAAACGAAUGCUAAUACCGCAUAAAAACUUUAAACACAAGUUUUAAGUUUGAAAGAUGCAAUUGCAUCACUCAAAGAUGAUCCCUCGUUGUAUUAGCUAGUUGGUGAGGUAAAGGCUCACCAAGGCGAUGAUACAUAGCCGACCUGAGAGGGUGGUCGGCCACAUUGGGACUGAGACACGGCCCAAACUCCUACGGGAGGCAGCAGUAGGGAAUCUUCGGCAAUGGACGAAAGUCUGACCGAGCAACGCCGCGUGAGUGAAGAAGGUUUUCGGAUCGUAAAACUCUGUUGGUAGAGAAGAACGUUGGUGAGAGUGGAAAGCUCAUCAAGUGACGGUAACUACCCAGAAAGGGACGGCUAACUACGUG
rnacentral:rRNA from 1 species